UAAUUGAUGUGAUAUGAAUACAAAAUCAAAUGAAGUACACGUAACAUGCAAGAGAAUCCAAUCAAGUACUUAUCAGAGCUUGUAAAAUGCACUUGAUUACCUUGGUUUCAGAGCUUGUAAAAUGCACUUGAUUACCUUGGUUUCAGAGCUUGUAAAAUAUACUCAGAAGCAUUUGAUGGCAGGGUAUGAAGCAACUUGUUUAGGCCACCCCUAAUUCAAAAAGAAAUAAUUAGGAAUAGAAAGUUUAACAUGAAUAAUGCAANAAGCAACACUGACAAUUGCCUACAUAAACUAAAUAGAAUAAAACUAUAAACUAUAUAACUCAUUUGAACACAAUCCGAUACUAUAAUAUUUGAAAAUACUGCAAUUUGAACUACAAUUAUUGAUUGGAAAAACAAAAAGAUUGAGAUACCUUCGAAAGAUGAUGGCAGAGUAUGGUAAGUAAGGAAGCAUGCUUCCAAUUCCUUUUCAUUGUUUCGGCUUGGGACAAUAUAAAUUGNGUACCUAUUCAAUGAUGAAAAUUCAGUAUAACAUUUAUAUGUACUAUGGAAAUUAACUGAGGCUAAUCAUUUGAUACAAAGUAACAUAAACAAGAUACGAUGAUCAACCACAUUAUGACACGACAUGAUUCAGUUCAGUUAAAUACCAAAUCUUUAGAGAUAGCAACAAACUAUGCUCACCAAGAAACAACCAUCCAACUUGUUGGGGAAAGAUCCACACUCUUCAAUGNCAAAAAUGUAGGAUGGGUUGGAGCUAACUCAUCAACCUGAAACACAAAAACCAAAAACAAUNUAACAGGUGAUUGUAGUGACACACAAAUCCAAAGUUAUACAUAUUUAAUUUUGUGAAUUUUAUACUGCACAUAUUAUACAUAUUUGAAUGUCGUCCUGAAGAACCAGAUGAUGAUAUAACGCGGUAGGUGAAUGAUAUGAAGGUAUUUUCACGUGACGUAGCUAACCUAGGAGCUUAAAUAAAUAAAAACACGUUAUUAUACGCAGGGGACACAUUUCUCCACUCUUAGUUCAAUAGCAGUAGAAAAAUGGGUCUUGCAUUAAAUUAGAUAAAGACCNAGGUUUUGAUAACUAUGUAAACAUCAUAUUCAUGUUGUGUAUGUAAAUAGACAAAUAUUGAUUGAUAAAAUGCAUAUACAUGUUCUCUCUGUUACAAGGUUUUCAUAAUUGGAAUAGAAAAACAUCAACUAGAAACAUCAAAGAGCCCUAGUAAAACAUCAAUAACAUUCAAAAUAUUUCUAUCAUAGUGAUAUAAGUACAAAUAUAUUUGGAGGUGCGGAAUNNN
rnacentral:lncRNA from 1 species